UGGGAGACCAGUUAUCCUGGUUUGCCUGGGACUGUGGGGAUUCCCCAGAUAUGGGACCUG
rnacentral:miRNA from 1 species